CAAUAGCGUAUAUUAAAGUUGUUGCAGUUAAAAGGCUCGUAGUUGAAUUUCGGGUCCCCGCGCUCGGCGCUUCAUUGUGCCGUCGUGGUGUCCCUCCUCGCCGUAAGGCGUCCUUUACUGUGAAAAAAUUAGAGUGUUCAAAGCAGGCAAUCGCUUGAAUACAUUAGCAUGGAAUAAUAAGAUAGGAUCUUGUCUAUUUUGUUGGUUGCGGACAACGAUAAUGAUUAAUAGGGAUAGUUGGGGGUGUCCGUAUUGAGCUGUCAGAGGUGAAAUUCUUGGAUUUGCUCAAGACGAACUACUGCGAAAGCAUUCACCAAGGAUGUUUUCAUUA
rnacentral:rRNA from 1 species